rnacentral:rRNA from 1 species
ACUACAUGAAGCUGGAAUCGCUAGUAAUCGCGAAUCAGAAUGUCGCGGUGAAUACGUUCCCGGGUCUUGUACACACCGCCCGUCACACCAUGGGAGUCGGAAAUGCCCGAAGUCAGUGACCUAACCGAAAGGAGGGAGCUGCCGAAGGUGGAGCCGGUAACUGGGGGUGAAGUCGUAACAAGGUAAC